rnacentral:rRNA from 1 species
UACGUAGGUGGCAAGCGUUGUCCGGAAUUACUGGGCGUAAAGAGCUCGUAGGCGGUUUGUCGCGUCGUCCGUGAAAACUUGGGGCUCAACCCCAAGCUUGCGGGCGAUACGGGCAGACUUGAGUACUGCAGGGGAGACUGGAAUUCCUGGUGUAGCGGUGAAAUGCGCAGAUAUCAGGAGGAACACCGGUGGCGAAGGCGGGUCUCUGGGCAGUAACUGACGCUGAGGAGCGAAAGCGUGGGUAGCAAACAGG